GGUGCACAUUCUGGAGGACGGCUGUGAUUUCUUUCUGGAGAAAGAAGAAAGGAAAGAAAAUCUAAGUUUAUGUUACAAAAGGGAUAGUGAGGAUUUCCUUGUUUGCUCUCCAGAGUUUUCUUAAGCCUGAUGUUUUGAAUCAAUGAGUCGAAAAGAAGCGGGAUAGCUCCAGAUCAAAAAUAAGGAACCAGAGACACAUGGAAUUGGUGAGUAGGAAGAAAAAUCGCAAAGUCUCUGCCUACCGUACUCAUAAAAAAGCAAAUUUAACAAGGACCGAAGGGCUCCAGUUCAAGCAGUGACCAACACGAGACACCCCAGCCUCGCUAACGGGAUGUGCUUCCACGCACGUGCAUUUUGGCAGCAGUCAGCAGAAGCAGCCCCAUGGCUCCCACCCCACUCUCCCAGCCCCGUCCUCUCCUUGACCGUUGCCAGUAGGAUUAUUUCUGUGGCUGCGCACCAAGCUGGCUCAGCG